rnacentral:sRNA from 1 species
CUUCCCUAAGCACAUGGUGACAAGGCAAACUUCGACAACAAAGGAAUUUUGAGUACCUCAUCCCCCGGGCGGGCCCCGAUGCUGUGGAUGGACGCACUUUCUUCGCGACUCUUCAACACACACUUUACAUCAC